AACGAACGCUGGCGGCAUGCCUAACACAUGCAAGUCGAACGAGACCUUCGGGUCUAGUGGCGCACGGGUGCGUAACGCGUGGGAACCUGCCCUUAGGUUCGGAAUAACUCCCCGAAAGGGGUGCUAAUACCGGAUAAUGUCUUCGGACCAAAGAUUUAUCGCCUUUGGAUGGGCCCGCGUUGGAUUAGCUAGUUGGUAGGGUAAAAGCCUACCAAGGCGACGAUCCAUAGCUUGCCUGAGAGGAUGAUCAGCCACACUGGGACUGAGACACGGCCCAGACUCCUACGGGAGGCAGCAGUGGGGAAUAGUGGACAAUGGGCGAAAGCAUGAUCCAGCAAUGCCGCGUGAGUGAUGAAGGCCUUAGGGUUGUAAAGCUAUUUUACCCGGGAUGAUAAUGACAGUACCGGGAGAAUAAGCUCCGGCUAACUCCGUG
rnacentral:rRNA from 1 species